CGGCUCAAAAAAAAAAAAAAAUUAAAAACUGGCCAGGCACAUUGGCACACGGCUCACACCUGUAAUCCCAGCACUUCGAGAGGCCAAGGCAGGAAGAUCCCUUGAGCCCAGGAAACCUGUCUGGGCAAUAUAGUAAGACCUAUAUAGUAAGACCUUGUCUCUCCAAAAAAAAAAAAAAAAAAAAAUAUGAUUUAAAAAAUUACCUGGGCAUGGUAGUGUGCACCUGUAGUCCCAGCUAUUCAGGAGGCUGAGGUGGGAGGAUCAUUUGCUUGGGAGGCAGCAGUUUCAGUGAGCCAAGAGAACACUACUGAACUCCAGCCUGGGUGACAGGGAGACCCUGUCUGAAAGAAAAAAAAUUAAAAACUAAAGACACAAUUUGAGCUACUAGAAAGGAAAACAACAAUGCCUGGUAUAAAAUAUGCACUGGAUUGAAUAACCAGAUCAGAUAUUUCAGGAAGAAAUUAAGACCCAGCAAUAGAAAUGACAUAAUUUUAAAUACAUGCACUUAACAAAUUGCCAAAAUACGUCAUGCAAGAACACACAGAACUGCAAGGUGACACAGAAAAAUUCACAGUUAACUGAAGACUUCAACACUUCUCAGUAAUACAAAGAUCCAACAGGCGUAGAUUCAGUAAACAUUCCUUUUUUAUUUUAAAAUACUUCACAAAGAUUGUAUAUGUUCAUGAUGUACAGUUAUGUUUUGAUGUAUAUAUAUACAUUCUGUAAUGGUUACCACAGUCAAAUUAACACAUUGAUGACCACCCAUGCUGUACAUUAAAUCUCCAGAACGUGUUCACCUUACAACUUGGUUUUUAACCUUUGACCAACAUUUCUCCAUUUUCCCUACCUUCUGGACUCUAGUAACCACCGUUCCUCCCUCUGCCUCGGAGUUUAAGUUUUUAAUAUUCCACAAUUAAGUGGGAUCAUGAAGUAUUUGCCUAUGUCUGCCUUAUUUUAUAGUGUCCACCAGGUUUAUUCAUGUGACAAAUGUCAGGAUUUCCUUUUUACGGCUGAGUAAUAUUCUGUUUAAAUAUACAUCACACUUUCUUUAUUCAUCCAUUAAUGGAUGCUAAGUUUGUUUCCAUAUGUUGACUAUUGUGAAUAAUGCUGUAAUGAACAUAUGCGAGUGGCAGAUAUCUCUUUGAAAUACUGAUCACUGCCUUUGGUCAUAUAUGCAUAUACCCAGGAGUGAGACUGUUGGAUCACAUGGUAGUUUUUGUUUUUUUUUGCAGAACCUCCAUAUUGUUUUUCACAAUGGCUGUACCAAUGUACAUUCCCACCAACAGUAUACAAAGCUUCCUUUUUCUCUGUACUCUAACACUAAUCUCUCUUGAUAGUACCCAUCCUUGCAUGUAUGAGGUAACAUGUAAUUGUGGUUUUGAUUUGAAUUUCUCUAAUGAUUAGUGAUAUUAAGUCCCUUUUCAUUUGCUUUCCGGCCAUUUGUAUGUCUUCUUUGAAAAAAAUGUCCACUCAGGGUUUUUAAAUUUAUUUUUUCUUAUUGUUUUUACCCCUUGCAGAAACCAGUCUAUUUUUCUUAAUUUGUUAGUUUUUUGAGAUGAGAGGGGUCUCAUUAUGUUACCCAGGUUGGUGUCGAACUCCUGGAUUCAAACGAUCUUCCUGACUCACACUUCUGAGUACUGGGACUACAAUUGGGCACCACUAUGCCCAGCUAAUAAUUUAUUUAUUUAUUUAUUUUAGACAUGAAGUCUCCCUAUGUCGCCCAGGUUGGUCCCAGAUUCCUAGCCUCAGGCACUCCUCCCAAGUACGUGGAAUUAUAGGCAUAAGCCACGGCACCUGGCCUCCUAAACUUAUGAGUGUUCCAACUUGUAAUAGACUUUGAAACAUAUACAACUUGUUGGUGCGUCCCAGGCCAAUCCUCACAUUUGGCUUUGAUUAGCCUUUAUCAAAUUAUUCUGCCUCAACAGACUUAAUUUUGGUCAACAAUUUAACUGAGGUACUUUAUAGAUAACAGUGUCCAUUAUACCACAGGAAAUACUUCAGUGUUUAAAUAAUGAGAAAAGCAAAAGCUGUUCCCAAUGACAGCUGCUCCCCAACUCACCACAAGGCGAAGUCUUACCCUGUUGAAAACUGUAACAAACCUCCAUCAGACAAAGCUACCAGGUGACCAUAAUGGAUCAAAAUGAAAUUCUGUAACCAUGUCUCCGAUAACCUAAAAGAAAACAGACUCCAAACUUUAAAAAUGACCAGAAAUCUCCUAAUAUGACUUGUGCUUCUUAUGAAUUAGUGUUAGUGCCACUCUAUUCUUUCUGCCUCCUAGAUAAGAACUAUUAGAAUUUUCCAAGGAUGGAAUUGAGUUCACCUAACAGCAUCCAAUACAAACACCUCACUUUGUUGAAUGGCAAUGAAAUCACCUAAAAGAAACACAAAUCCUAUAAGAAGUCCUCUUGAGCACCCUCUUAUGGAUAACCCUCCGUCAUUGAUGCUUUGUGUUCAUCCUUAUUACAACUCUUUACAUGCCACUCUUUGACUAUAGGUGUGAUUCUAGUGGUCUCUGGCAAGAUGGCACAGACAAAAGCAUGCUUUGUUCCUGUGGUAUUCUAAAUGAGAAAUUAGAUUCAUGAGAAAAAUUGUGACCAUGUAAGAAUUUUAAAAAAUUUUUUCCUUUACAUUUUCUUUAACAUUUUUUAAAGAAAAAAAGUACUUGGACUUAUAUGCAAAUGGUAAUACUGACUCAUUAUUUAGAAUGUAUAAUGAAUAACCUGACAAAAUUACAAAGUUGACCUGAAAAUGCAUAAUUGCAAUGGGAUAUUUUAAUAUAUAUUCUCAGGUAAUGGAAAAUAUUAAUACAAUAGUUGUUAGUAUAC
rnacentral:lncRNA from 1 species